GUGCUUGCUUUGGCAGCACAUAUACUAAAAUUGGAGUGAUACUGAGAAGAUUAGCACGGCCCCUGUGCAAAGAUGAAGCACAAAUUUGUGAAGUGUUCCACAUUUAA
ensembl:snRNA U6 U6 spliceosomal RNA